rnacentral:lncRNA from 1 species
ACGACGUGCUGUGCUGGAAUCCCUGAGCCUGCUCUGGCCUGGGAGGCUGCCUGAUUUGUUCAACUCAUUCUUGAUCACUGACAAUGGACUUCCUGCAUGCGCUACAAGCAACCCUCCCAGGCUAAUUGGUGACAUCAACCAAAGCCCUGAAAGUGAUUCUGGCAGAAAACGAACAUGUCUCUGCGAAGCAGGUGAAGAGCCCGAGACUUUGGAAUAGACACACUGGCAGCGACGGGGAUGAGACCUCACCAGGGAGGAGGUGCUAAGCCCAACUGCAGGAUGUCUCUGGGUGUCCUCCAGGCACCCCAGCUUUGAAGGCACCCCACCAACCCGGGAUCCACAAACGUUUCCGCCAGAUGUGCAGCCCUUGGAGCAAGUCGUGAAACAACUGCUUUGAAGAUGAAGAGCCCUCGGAGCACGCUAAGUAGCUGUAUUAUUGUCGUGCAGUGUGUGUCACCCUGCGGAGGAUUCAACUCCCAGCACUGUCACCGCUGGGGAAUUAGUGAAAGGCAAACUCAGCCGGAAAUGCCGAGUGCCAAAAAAGAGGAGCGAAUAAAAUGCUGGGGGUGGGAGGAAGGGGACGGGAGGAAGAGGCCUGGCCAUUCAGGACAGUGAAGUCACCGAAGAAAGGUGGCAGCAGGGGAGACUGGGGGUGGACUCUCCAGCCCGUGCCCGCUGGAAGCCCCUCUCCUUUCCCUUCUUAGCACCUGCCGGAUGGAGCGUCUAUGCAGCUAGGACUGUUAUAUGGAGGGUUUUCUCCCGCCGUGGACUCUCUGGAGGCUAUGGACUGUCUGCUUUGCCCAUCAUUCUGUCCCCAACACGUUGUCUGCAUGAAGUGAAGAUUUGAUAACUGCCUGCUAAGGGAGCGAAGGAGUGAGUGGGUGGAUGAGUGGGACGGUAUUCUCACUGCCACAGCUGCUCCCAGCCCUAUUUUAAGGACAGAGAAUAUGCAUAUUUAAAGGACAGAUGCGUGUCUAAUAAUCCCAGCAUGUUGGGAGGCUGAGGCAGGAGGAUUGUUUGAGGCCAGCAGUUUGAGAGCAGCCUG